GAUGAACGCUGGCGGCGUGCCUAAUACAUGCAAGUCGAGCGAACAGAUGAGGAGCUUUCUCCUCUGACGUUAGCGGCUGACGGGUGAGUAACACGUGGAUAACCUACCUAUAAUACUGGGAUAACUUCGUGAAACCGGAGCUAAUACCGGAUAAUAUAUUGAACCGCAUGGUUCAAUAGUUAAAGACGGUUUUGCUGUCACUUAUAGAUGGACCCGCGCCGCAUUAUCUAGUUGGUAAGGUAACGGCUUACCAAGGCAACGAUGCGUAGCGGACCUGAGAGGGUGAUCGGCAAAACUGAACCUGGGACCGGGUCCAACCUCCUACGGGAGGAAGCAGUAGGAAAACUGGAGAAAUGGGCGAAAGCCUGACGGGGCAACGCGGCGUGAGUGGGGAAGGUCUUCGGAUCGUAAACCUCUGUUAUUAGGAAAGAACAAAUGUGUAAGUAACCAUGCACGUCUUGACGGUCCCUAAGCAGAAAGCCCCGCUUAACUACGU
rnacentral:rRNA from 1 species